UUAUUCAGGGAAAUGGUUUUUCUUGCAUUUUCUCAAAGUUGAGUUAAAAACUUUAACUUAAGUAAAACCUCAAACUUAAGUUUGUUUUGAGAAAUCGGGGCCAGUUAAACUAGUGAGU